UAAGUCUCAGUUCGGAUUGAAGGCUGAAAUUCGCCUUCAUGAAGCCGGAAUUGCUAGUAAUGGCAGGUCAGCAUACUGCCGUGAAUACGUCCCCGGGCCUUGUACACACCGCCCGUCACACCAUGAGAGUUGGGAAUACCCGAAGCCUGUGAGCUAACUUUUAGAGGCAGCAGUCGAAGGUAGAAUCAAUGAUCGGGGUGAAGUCGUAACAAGGUAUC
rnacentral:rRNA from 1 species